GACGUAGGGUGCGAGCGUUGUCCGGAUUUAUUGGGCGUAAAGAGCUCGUAGGCGGCCUGUUGCGUCAGCUGCGAAAACCCGCGGCUUAACCGUGGGCCUGCAGCUGAUACGGGCAGGCUAGAGUUCGGUAGGGGAGACUGGAAUUCCUGGUGUAGCGGUGAAAUGCGCAGAUAUCAGGAGGAACACCGGUGGCGAAGGCGGGUCUCUGGGCCGAUACUGACGCUGAGGAGCGAAAGCGUGGGGAG
rnacentral:rRNA from 1 species